GUAGGUGGCAAGCGUUGUCCGGAAUUAUUGGGCGUAAAGCGCGCGCAGGCGGUUCUUUAAGUCUGAUGUGAAAGCCCACGGCUCAACCGUGGAGGGUCAUUGGAAACUGGAGAACUUGAGUACAGAAGAGGAAAGCGGAGUUCCACGUGUAGCGGUGAAAUGCGUAGAGAUGUGGAGGAACACCAGUGGCGAAGGCGGCUUUCUGGUCUGUAACUGACGCUGAGGCGCGAAAGCGUGGGGAGCAAACAGGAUUAGAUACCCUGGUAGUCCACGCCGUAAACGAUGAGUGCUAAGUGUUAGGGGGUUUCCGCCCCCCUUAGUGCUGCAGCUAACGCAUUAAGCACUCCGCCUGGGAGUACGGCCGCAAGGCUG
rnacentral:rRNA from 1 species